rnacentral:piRNA from 1 species
UAUUAUAAUGUUGAUGGAUUUGUCCCCU